AGUUUGGGUUUUUCUUUUGUAUGUGUGUAUGUGUGCGUGUUGUGGAGGAAAAAAAGGAAUGCUUAGCACUUACCCGCCAACUGUUCGAUGAAUUUCCUCUAAUACAUACAGAUAAUUAUACUGGAUGAAGAUAGCAUGAUGAUAAAAUCACUUACUUGGAGCAAUACAGCCUGUUUGAAGGAUGUAGACCACUGUUUGAGUUGUAGAGCGCUACAGCUACAUAUGUAGUCAUUAAAGGGUCAAGAAAACCUAAGAUAACAUUUGGUAUCCUAAAAAUUUAUUUCAAUAUAAUUUUUACUUGAAAAAACGAUUGUUUUAUUAUAAAAUGUUUGUUGUGUGAUGUGCUCAGUCCCAAAGAAUGGUGAAACUCCCACAGAGCUUGAUGAUUUGGACUUUAAAGGCCUUGACAUUACAUUUGCAAUGUAUAAUGUUGAUGAGGAGAACAUGAUCGUGUAACCUUCACCAACCCUAUAUCUUAAGGUUUGAUGAAGAAGAAGCAGACCUAGACAAGAAGCUGAUACAUGCUCAUAAUCAAUUUGUCAAUUCUAAAACUGCAUCGAACUGGAAGUCCUAAUCGACCGCUGCCAAGGUCUCUCUCUUGAAACCAUCUCUUACUUUUUGUGUGUAUGUUAACAUAUUAUAUUCUUAUUUUGCUUUGCUAUGAAGAGAAUCUAGAAGAAAAAUAAGGAACAAAGAAAAUGCUUUGGAAAAAUCUGGACUAUACACAAAUUUGGAUAUAAUAUGAACUUCCUCAUUUUUUUUCUUAUAUCUUCUUUUAGUAGCACACUUUCUUUGGCUUCUUAACAUUGAUUUUUUGUUUGUUCCAUUUAGAUUGGGAUGAAAACUGUUUACCGAAUCAACAGUGAAGGUUCUGUAUUGGUUGUAUAGAUUACUAUGUUGGGAUGAUAUAUUGUCCGCUAAUCUUUUGUUCGUUUCUAUUCCCUUAAUAUUUUUGUUACGUAAUAUUUGUGAACUAUUUAUGUUUUUUAGUUUGGUUUUGACAUAUUUAUUGGAAUCUAUAGUAGUAGAUAAAUGCUACUGAGAAUACAUAAAUACAAAAUA